rnacentral:rRNA from 1 species
AUAGCGUAUAUUAAAGUUGUUGCAGUUAAAAAGCUCGUAGUUGAAUUUCUGGUUUGUUUAUAUAGUCUUUCAUUGAAAGUACUGUAUGAGUAAAUCUUUCCUUCUGGUUAAUUAUUGUGUCAUUCACUUGGUGCGAUAAGGACCCAGGACUUUUACUUUGAAAAAAUUAGAGUGUUUAAAGCAGGCUUACGCUUGAAUACAUUAGCAUGGAAUAAUAAAAUAGGACUUUGGUUUUAUUUUGUUGGUUUCUAAGACCGAAGUAAUGAUUAAUAGGGUCAGUUGGGGGCAUUAGUAUUCAAUCGUCAGAGGUGAAAUUCUUGGAUUGAUGGAAGACUAACUACUG